GAUGAACGCUGGCGGCGUGCCUAAUACAUGCAAGUCGAACGCAUUGUGGUUGAAAUGAUAUGAAGAACUUGUUCAGAUUUGAUUUUCAACAUUGCAAUGAGUGGCGAACGGGUGAGUAACACGUGGGAAACCUACUUCUUAGCAGGGGAUAACAUUUGGAAACAAAUGCUAAUACCGUAUAAUAAUUAAAACCGCAUGGUUUUAGUUUAAAAGAUGGUCUUGCUAUCACUAAGAGAUGGUCCCGCGGUGUAUUAGUUAGUUGGUGAGGUAAUGGCUCACCAAGACAAUGAUACAUAGCCGAGUUGAGAGACUGACCGGCCACAAUGGGACUGAGACACGGCCCAUACUCCUACGGGAGGCAGCAGUAGGGAAUCUUCCACAAUGGACGAAAGUCUGAUGGAGCAACGCCGCGUGUGUGAGUGAAGGGUUUCGGCUCGUAAACACUGUUGUAAGAGAAGAAUGACAUUGAGAGUAACUGUCAAUGUGUGACGGUAUCUUACC
rnacentral:rRNA from 1 species